GCCUUCGUGGUGUAAUGGUCAGCACACUCGGCGCGUAUUCGAGAGGUCCAUUGGUUCGAGUCCUGGCGAGAAUA
rnacentral:tRNA from 1 species